AGAAUCAACGCUGGCGGCGUGCCUAACACAUGCAAGUCGCACGAGAAAGGGACUUCGGUCCUGAGUACAGUGGCGCACGGGUGAGUAACACGUGAAUAAUCUACCUCCGAGUGGGGAAUAACUGAGAGAAAUCUUAGCUAAUACCGCAUAACACUUACGAGUCAAAGCAGCAAUGCGCUUGGAGAGGAGUUCGCGGCAGAUUAGUUAGUUGGCGGGGUAAUGGCCCACCAAGACGAUGAUCUGUAUCCGGCCUGAGAGGGCGCACGGACACACUGGAACUGAAACACGGUCCAGACUCCUACGGGAGGCAGCAGUGGGGAAUUUUGCGCAAUGGGGGAAACCCUGACGCAGCAACGCCGCGUGGAGGAUGAAAUCCCUUGGGAUGUAAACUCCCUUCGAUCGGGAAGAUAAUGACGGUACCGAGAGAAGAAGCCCGGCUAACUCGCGCCAGCAGCCGC
rnacentral:rRNA from 1 species